rnacentral:rRNA from 1 species
CAGUCGCCGCGGGAACACGAAGGGUGCAAGCGUUAAUCGGAAUUACUGGGCGUAAAGCGUGCGUAGGCGGUUUGUUAAGUCUGUUGUGAAAUCCCCGGGCUCAACCUGGGAAUUGCAGUGGAUACUGGGUCACUAGAGUGUGGUAGAGGAUAGUGGAAUUUCCGGUGUAGCAGUGAAAUGCGUAGAGAUCGGAAGGAACAUCUGUGGCGAAGGCGACUAUCUGGGCCAACACUGACACUGAGGCACGAAAGCGUGGGGAGCAAACAGGAUUAGAUACCCCAGUAGUCCCUGUCUCUUAUAC